rnacentral:rRNA from 1 species
AUGAACGCUGGCGGCGUGCCUAAUACAUGCCAGUCGAGCGAACGGACGAGAAGCUUGCUUCUCUGAUGUUAGCGGCGGACGGGUGAGUAACACGUGGAUAACCUACCUAUAAGACUGGGAUAACUUCGGGAAACCGGAGCUAAUACCGGAUGAUAUUUUGAACCGCAUGGUUCAAAAGGGAAAGACGGUCUUGCUGUCACUUAUAGAUGGAUCCGCGCUGCAUUAGCUAGUUGGUAAGGUAACGGCUUACCAAGGCAACGAUGCAUAGCCGACCUGAGAGGGUGAUCGGCCACACUGGAACUGAGACACGGUCCAGACUCCUACGGGAGGCAGCAGUAGGGAAUCUUCCGCAAUGGGCGAAAGCCUGACGGAGCAACGCCGCGUGAGUGAUGAAGGUCUUCGGAUCGUAAAACUCUGUUAUUAGGGAAGAACAUAUGUGUAAGUAACUGUGCACAUCUUGACGGUACCUAAUCAGAAAGCCACGGCUAACUACGUG